GGUCAUGUGGCACAUGUGGGCCAAUGGGGCUGUGGGCUGGCAAAAUGUGUCAUGGAGGAGUCCCACCCUCAUGGGGACCCCAAAAUCCAACCUGCUCAGAAGCUUAGCUACCCCCCCUCCCCCCCCCAGGGGAAGAUGGAGAUAAAGAGGAAGAGAAGUGUAGAGGCGAUCGAUGGCGGGGUGGGGGGCAGCAGCAGGGGGGGGCGGUGCUGUAGCCUGGGGGUGUGGGGGUGUGGCAUCACCACUAAAAAGCUGAGGUGCUGGGGCUGAGAGCGAAGGAGACCAGCAGAGAUAUGAGCGUCUCACUCACCAUCCAGGUCAAGGGCGGCCGCUCCACAAGCAGACCGGGGCACAGCACAGAGUUAACUGUGGACAAGGCAGCCCAGCCGGUGCUGGAGAAGGACGCUGCUCUUCUUGGCAUGGAGGUCGUAUCUCUGAGCUCCACCGCAGCUGCUGUGUCCUGCAAGCAUGGUGAUCAUAGCAG